ensembl:lncRNA
AUUUAGUUACUUCCAAGAAGUGAAAAAUUUCUCUCCUCCUUCCCAAGUGCUAACUAAUUGCUCCCUUUCUAAAGACACAUGCUACCUAAGUGAAAAUAGAAAACCCUAAAAGGCAAACCAGGAGAAAUUUUGCUCCCAUUGCACCCGUGACAUUCAUCGACACUUGCUGAAUGUUUCUGAAGACCAACCAGUGGAUGUGAGCACAGCGAGACGGUGGGUGGUGCGUUUCAGCGGUGGUGGUCACCUCCACUGGUGCAUGUUUUAAUGAGCACAGCAUGCAGGCUUUCGUUUAUAGCUACUGAAAACACAGCUAAUAGUGGUGGCUGUGUAGAAAAAGUGUUUUGUAGCUGAGAAUUUGCUCUAUCAAACUGUGUUAAUUUGCUUUUUGUAUCUGUUGCAAUUUCUAUGAAAACAAAUGAGCAAUUCUUUCAGAGCACCCUAUGUAUGAUUGAAGUAGUGUAGAACAGGAAAAAUAAAAAACCUUGAGAACCAUGUCUCUCUGCCUUAACUGCAAAAAUAAACAACUCAUUUGUCCCAUGUGAAAAGGAAUUAAAACUUCCCACUGAGUCUUAAUCUUGAGUCUAUGUUUUCUCUCUGCUUCAUAAUCUCCACAGAACAAGCCGGCAGCAAUUCUUGAGCCUUUAGGUCCACAUCCUGAGAAAGUUCAAAGCACUUCCUUCACAUAAUGGUUUUUUUUCCUUUCCAAGCGGUCAUGCAGGAAGAGGUGAGACCCACCAAACCACAGUUUGCCUCGCUCCCUGUGAGCAAUGCUGUUGAUAUAACGACCCAGCUCAGACAGGGAAGGAUUUCUAGUGGCUGCCACUGAUUUCCUACAGGAGGGCACUGUGGAAGGAAGGAGAGGUGGUACGCAUGGGGAAAGAUCAAAGUGCUUUCAGAGAUCUGCAGUAGUAUCGCAUUCUUCUUUCGAUUACGUGAGUGCAGCUGAAGACCUGGAGCAGCAGUGAUGAGGUGCAUGCACUGCAGCUACUCCCUUCCCUAUUCUCAUAGGAAGCUCCUGCGUUGAGGGAAGAAGUUCCCGGAGCUUUCUGUGCUGGUGAAAGAGGCAGCUGUGCUAAUUCUGAUACCGAGUAUUCUCUUACAAACUGAGAUGCUGCAAAACUCCUCAGAAGAGCAGAAAAGGAAGACUUACACCUCUGUCUGACACAGUUAAAAUCUCUCCCUGUGCACUUAUCAGCUUGCAUAUCUCUGUGAAACUCUGUGCUUCAGCGAGGGCUACAUCACUAGGCAACUACUGCAAAGAAACAUGAGUUCUACAGGAUUUCAGGGAAGAAUUCUUCCUCUACUUUUGUUCACUUCUGAGUUUGCUUCUUGGCACCCUCUUCCUUAAUGUGAGGUCAGCCAGAGUACUUUCACAGUUUUUCCUGUCUGUUUUGUCAUUUGUUUCUGUUUCGCAGGCUUACAGCUCCGAAGUUUUUCCAAGAGAGAAGAGAAACCAAACUGGAAGAUGAGAGCAUUGCACAGGCACCAAAUGCUGUUUCUGUUCAACCUUUGUUUCAUCGAGAAAAGUGGGUGUCUAAAAUCAAAGCACGCAUUACUUCCCAUCACUUGUAAUCUGAGACUAGUGUUUUAGUGGAGUCUGCUGCCAGACUACAGAGAAAAGGAAACUUAGUGGAUCACCAGGUUUUUCAGCCUCUGAGAAAGAUAACCAACCAAGAGGCUUCAUGAAUUUCUUGAGAAGAUAGAGGAUCUACUGAAGUUACCACUUCUUUCAGAAAACCAUGGCUGUCAAUGACUAAGGCAUGAACAAAGAAAGCUAAAUCUAUUUUAUCUUAUGUUAUAAAAUGUAAAGGAAAUGAUACUUCCAUAAUGUUUUAGGCCUUUCUGCAGAAUUUGUGAAAAUGCAGAAGAAUGGUGUUAGAUCCGGAAUAUGAAGUUUAGGUGGGAGAUUUCUUAGUAAUAAACAGCUUUGAAAAGGAAGAGAGUGAUUUAGCAGGUGUUGCCUCUGCUUCACCAUCCUUCCUGUAAUUCAGAAAUGCCAAAAGAUAGGUGAGUUUCUCAGUGCACACUGAAGGUCAACAAACCUAUCUUUACCAAGGCUGACAUUGUUCUAGUACAGGUUAGAGGAAAGAAAACAAAUGUGAUCUGCUAAGCCUGAGACUACACCCAGAAAUCUGAGCAGUGGUUUUAUGAUUAUCCUAAGCUGUGCUUGAGGAACAGCUAACUGUGAGACUUACAUACUUACUCACAGGCAGGUGUCAGAUGAAGUAGCUGCAUGGAUGCUGGCCAUGCUGAAGUGAAUGGUGCUGAGACUUAAUGAAACAUGGUCACAGUUCCAUCUUUCUGUCAUUAGAUGCAUGUCAGUGCGUCUGACUGCUUGGGGAAAUGCUCUGCAUGCAGUAGAUGUGCUUUCCUAUGGAUACUACCCCAACUGGGAGGGGCAAGUAGUCCACAGAAGAUAUUAUUAUCCACAAUUACGGAUAGAAAGAAGUAAAGGAUGGUUAUUAAUAAGAAGCUCUCAUCUGCAAAGAAAAUUUGGUUUACCUGUGAGUAAAAGCCACUUGGCUGUAAACCUAGCUGCCACAUCACUAACUUAAGGCAGAAAUGUUACUCUAGAACUGGUACAAAAUGAUCACUCACAGAUUCUCAGGUACGGCUGAUGACAUUUCAUGCCCAGCAUAUUUUGUGCUCCAAAUUUCAGGUGACCAAGUGAAUAUCCUCUCAAUAUAAAGACUAAAAUCAAUGACACAAAACAUGUAUAAUUAACUAUACAAGGUUGUUAUAAAAUGAAGUCCUCUGUUUCACAGACCAAGAUUCAUAAUAGUUAGAAGCUAAGUCUCUUGGUGUUUCCAGUAUUGAUUUUUUUUUCCCCCAUUUCUUUAAUUCUACUACAGUAAUUAUAGAGUCAUAGAAUCAGAGAAUGUCUUGAGCUGGGAGGGACCCAGGAGGAUCACUGAGUCCAACUCCUGACUCCACAUGUGACCACCCAAAAUCCAAACCCAAUGUCUGAGAAUGGCGUCCAGAAUGGUGGCAGCUCAGAGCCAUUCCCACUGCACUGGGCAGCCUGUUCCAGGGCCCCACUGCCCUCUGGUGAAGAGCCUGUCCCUAACUCCCACCUGACCCUCCCCUGACACAGCUCCAUGCCAUUAUAGCAUGGAGAUUUCUGGAGAUGUGUGUCUUUAUGGGAAGGGAGAGAGGAGAAUAAGAAUUUGAAAUUAGUGUUCAGGCUAGGUAGUGACUUGCUGUUGUUAGGUGAUCUUCCCAUGCCCUUUUUACAUUCCUACGUGAAACUGAAAGGAUAUGUAUGAUGUUAAUACCAUUCCACUACCACUGACGCUUGCAGUUGGAAACAUUAGGCCUGAGGGCUUAGUUCAGCUAGUUCCUAAGCAUUUUCUUUUUCUUUAGGCUUUUUGUUUUUUCAUUGAAAAUAGUAGUUGUUGCUUAAAACUCACUCAAAACCAAGGGUUCUUCACCUUGCAAAUCACUAUCAGUACUGAGGGGCAUGAGGCUGGUUACAUAUCGAGCUCUGUAGCCAUCUCUGCUGUCCUCUAGGCUCUGGUGGUCCUCCUUGGGAACCCUAUUCUGUGCACCCGUUCAGAUCUGCCUCUUCUGCUUUCAAAGAACUGCUUCUGACUCACCCCUGGCACCAUCUGAGCACUUCUUACUGUCUCUGGUUUCCAUUAUCCCUGGGAUGGCAUUUAUUGAUCUGAAAUGGGCUACAGAAGCAGAGCUGUGGAGAUCACAGAAUGGGGAACCUGCUGCAAGGAGCCGAGUGGGGAGCAGGCUGGGCAUGGAAAUGGAAACUUGCCUCUCCCCUCAACCUUCUUGUGCAUUUGGGCUGGUGGUUUGGGCUGGUGCCAAGGCUCAGCUCUAGGUCCGUUUUCCGUGUUCCUUACAAGGAUGUGGGUUGGAGGGACACCCAGGAAACAUUAGCAGUUGUCUGGAAGGAAGGUCCUAGCUGACAGCCGUGUUGUGGUGUGGGGCUUGGUGCUGUAUCUCAAAACAUCCCAUGUUACCAUCAGUCUGUGCAACCCCUCUUCUUCCAGAGGGUGGAAGAAGCGGUACCUACAAUUCAGUCACAGCAGGCCAUAAGGGGAAUGACUCAGGAGAACCAAGGAACAAACACCACGUACACCAUAUUUCUUUGGGUUUUGGGCAGACUCUUACCAUUUUGUAGAAUCAUAGAAUCAUGGAGUGGCCUGGAUUGAAAAGGACCAUAAUGAUCAUCUAGUUUCAACCCCCCUGCCAUGGGUGGGGUCACCAACCGCCAGACCAGGCUGCCCAGAGCCACAUCCAGCCUGCACACUCUUAUAGGGGGCAAACAGCAGGAAACCAAGCGAUGCAAGGCAAUGCCUUUUUCACAGAGGUGCAGACUUCAGUUCUCACAUAACUAUAGCUGUCACUCUUCUUUCUGCACUCACCUCACUGCCUGCUUACUUUAUGAUGCAAAAUGUGCCUCGGGAUAUUUGCGGUGAUGUUGGUGAAAAUAUUACAAAAACAGAUAAUUGGAGAAUCAAGGCUUGGCAAACUGUUGUUCGAUCUGGCAAUAUAGCAAAGUGUGUCAUUUGCCAAGAGCAGUCUCAUCUGAUAGACUUUUGGGACCAAGAGCUGGCAAAUGAGUAAGCCUCACAUGAUUACCUUUAUUUUUGCUUUAUGAGCAAACAAAAUUCAGAGGUGGAGGGUAUAAACAAAGAAAGUGAAACUGGGAGAGUUCAUGUGUUUACGGCCUAAGAGCCCACACCUUCCACUGAGGCUUGUAAGAGGCUUAUGUGCUGUGCACAUAAGGUUACUUUGGGAGGGAGGAACUGGGUAGCACAGCUGCAUCUGCCUCCCAUACAGAAAGAAUGCUGCUGGAUUGUGAUGCAGCAUAGUAAUGUGCAUUAACAGACCUUCAGCUCCACAGACUUUACUCUCUUCCUUCCCUGUGGAUGGGUGUGUCUAACUGACAGCCGCCCAGCUUUGUAUUCUUUGGGCUUCCUGUAUAUGACUGUACGUGCAACAUAUUCAGUACAAAAAUAGCAAAAGAGAAUCAAGAAGUAGUAAAUCACCUGGUAAAAGCUGGAGGUCAUCAGACCAUGUCUUACAGAAGGUGCACAGGCUUUGUCCCCCACAAAGCAGGUCCCAGCUUGUUUUGUUUUCUGCAGCGUACAAAGGCCAUCUACUGGGCCUUAACACAACUGCUGUUAGGUGUGAUGUCUUGUGUAACAUCACUGAGCAUGGCACUGGGUGAUUGGAUGAAUGUGCAAGUCCUUAAUUGAAAUUACUCAAUCACAGAAUCAUUAAGGUUGGAAAAGACCGCUAAGAUCAUCUUGUCCAACUGUCAACCCAUUGCCACCACGCCCACUAGCUGUGGUACACAGACCUUCUAUCCACUGAGCAGUUUAACUGCACUGGCAGAAAUAAAAACUCUUCUGUUUCUUUCAGAAGACUACAAAAACUGGUGCUGCACUUGACCUGAUUGGAUUAUUUGUAACUUAAGUGGCAGGUGUUGCACCUUAAAUGGCAGUUUCAGUCAGCACCUUUUGUUUCCCUCCUUCAAAAGACAUAGACUUUCAGUGGUUUUGAUUUAAAAAGAAAAAAAAAGAAAAAAAAAAAGAAAGAAAAGGAAAAAAAGAAAAAAAAGAAAAAGAAAAAAAGAACCAACUGUAAGCUCCAGUGCUUUGCUUUUCUGUGCUGGCACAUCUGAUGGUGAGGUGGCAAGGUGCUUCCUGUUUACCUACAGAAAUCUCAUCUUCCAAACCAAACCUUGAUCUCUGGGGACCCCUUCUUAAGCCAUGGUUCGGCCUUGAUCUGAGAGUGGAACACAGCAUGUUCAGAUUUCUCUAGCAUUGCAGCUGGUGGCUGUGCAGUACUUCUCACAGCUGUGCUUGGCCUCCUUUGGCUGUCAAUCACAUGGGCAUUGUUCUGGGGCAGAGUCCAUGGUAGAGUGCACGAUGGGUGGAAGAUAGAUGUGCCACAAGCAUAACAAAUGAUCUGUUUUAUCAACGUGACAGGGUUAAUGUGUAUCUGAUAAAAAAUUUGGUGUUAACUGGAACUGUGCAAGGGUGAGAGAUGAAGAAGCUUGACUUCCUUCCAUUAACUGCACAUCAUCUGGUGCGUUAUGUGCACGCUGAGAACUGGACUUCCACUCUUCCUUUUCAACUGUAGUCUGAAUUUUUAACCAUGUUGAAGACUCUCUGCUUCUGCAAACCUCUUGGUGCAGACAUUGCUAAAUGUAAUUUUUCAGACAACUGCGCUGCAGGAGCAGAUGCAUAGUAUCCAAACUAUAAUGAAAUAAGUGCAGCAGAAGAAGGGCACAGGCAUUCUCCUCAAAGUUCAAAUGACACUUUGGUCCUUACCUCCUUUUUAUCUUCUUUUCCACAAACCUGAGCACGAAGCAUAAUCAUGUUCUUGUGCUAGUGUUGGGAGGAAAGCUUGGCCUGGCGCAGUUGUGCACAGCUACUCAUGAACAGAAUGUUUUUAUUCAGUCUGUGAUCAGUCACUGCUCAGCAUUUGUUAUUUCCAUGGACUCAUCAUGGACAAAAGGAAUAUGCAUUAACUUAGCUAACCGGUCAUCACACCAGGAGGAAAAAAGAGAACACUCUCACACGUUAUUUGUGUGACUUCUUAAUAAAAGGAAAACAACCUUUUCCAUUUUCUUGCCUGUUCCCCACAAGAAGCAAACAAAUGAAAGUAUUUACAUAAUUUUAGUUAAUACGAGGAUUGUGCGUUCAUGGUGUUCAAGGAACUCUGCAAGGAGAUGAACUGGAAUGAGAAACGGAAUCCUGGUACGGGUGUUCUUAGAACCUCAGAGAAAAUUUCUCCCCCGGGCAUAUUUAGUAUGUUUAUAUUUAGCAUAUUUAUACUUUGGAGGAAUUAAUUUGGCUCAGUAUCGUCUUCCUCAUGGAUUCCUUUUAUAUGUUUAUGACCUGAGAAUGCCCUCCCUUCUCCUCCCCUUUGCCUCUGUUUAAACCACAACAAAAGGUCAGACUGGAAGCAGAAUCCUGGGCAGAGGAAGAACAGGAAAGCUGUCUGUGUUUCCUUUUAUUCCUCCAUUUAAGAGACGAAUAUCCAGUGCAAUUACCCACCCAUCUGCAUGACACAGGCUGUGUUUUGAAUUCCUGUCUGUAGUGGGGGAGCAUCCACAGGUUCUUCUAAACAAAAGGAAAGCUUUCCCGGGAGAGAAAGGAAAGGUAUUCUGGAUGGAAGAUAAACCUGAGAAUACACACAAAAUGGCUGUUUGGUGAAGUCUGCCGUAUUUAUUUAUUUACCUUAAUAGAGGCAUAUUCUAUAAAUUCAUUUUCUAUAGAGAACUUCCUUCUCUGGUAUUUAUUUGUAGAAGCAGAAUGGUUUAGUGAGGCAUAUAUGAGGACAUCUUGGCUUUCAAGUGAAGCUGGGAUGGAAGGAUCAUUAGAAGGUGAGUUAGAUGCUGUCUCCUGAGCAUUACGUUGAGGAACACUGUCAUAAAUCUUGUUGACAGGCAAGAGCUGAGGUGGGCUAGACAUGGAACAGUAAAGUGAGGAGCUUUCAUCUGUAUCUGGAGUUGUCCCAUCAGCGUGGGAUGGAAGAGCUGAUAGCCUUCUGACCUGCAAAAGACAGAACAGGGUACAGCUCUGUGCACAACUGGCUAUUGCCUGUGCUCCUGCUAGAUAGAUAAGAUGUGGGUAGGAGUCUGUUGGCCUUGCUGUAUCCCUUUAAAACUGCUUUUGAAGAUGGGUACAUUGGACUCACCUGAUCACUGGAUUUUCUUUUGAUAUCUGAAAUAAGCUAGAAAUCAUACUCGUGUCUCUAGUCUUUCUCCACUUCCCUUCCCAAACUCAGUCAUGUCUUUCCUUGCACGAUUUCAACUUAAGGCAAAACUGAUUUAUCCUCUUGAGAGCUCUUCCAUGCCACUCAUUCACGCUCUUCUUUCCAAGCCUAUUAAAUCCUCAUUUUCACCUCCAAACCCCAAGGUAUCUUUCUGACUGCCCUUAUUCUCCUAUUUCCAGAUCUCUGACCCAUUACCGUUUUUUUUUUUUCUUUUUAAAAAAUUAUUCUCCAAAUAAAUCUCUCUUCUUCUCCCAAAUCUGCAAAUCCAUCUCUCUCUAAAGAAAUCCUCUUUUGGCAUCCAUUUUUUUCCAGCCACUUAGAACUCACUGCUUUCAGUUUUCUUUCCCCCACCUUGUCUUUCAGGAGCACUGCAGUCCAUUUGGUGCCCUUUGAUCCUUACCACAGCUUUUCUUGUGAGUGACAGCUGCCAGCUCCUGUCACAUCUUUUGCAUUCUGCCUUCUGCUCAUCUAAUUUCUUUGGAACCAAUUGCAAGAAUUGUGUGAAUUCGUGCCAGCCACAUAGCAAAGCAUUCUUCUCAAUCAUUGUACUGACCCUGUGGGUGACUUUUUGUCCUGUACAGUCAGAACUAGGUCAACAGAGGUGCUUCAGGUGCCUAAACUCCUGCUGGAAUGGUUUUA